CUGCUUCAAAAGUGGCUUGGGGUUUUUGUUAUGGAAGGAAAUGCUGUGCGAUUAUAAUAGCGGCAACUACGAGCUGACGUUUGGCUCAGGGACCAGACUGUCUGUCCAGCCCUACAUUACUCCAUCUCCUUCAGUCUACAGGCUGACCUCUAAAGAUGAUGAGAAUGUGGAAAUGUGCCUUAUCACAGAUCAUUCCCCUGAAAAGCUUACUCUUAACUGGGCUGAUAAGGUGACAAAUACUGUUGUGGAGGUGACAACACCUGAGAACAAACAGGAAGCCAGCUACCUGUCAACCUACUGGGGCAAGAAAGAUGAAAUGCUGUGUGGUGCAAAUCACGAGGGAUUUGGAGCACUGGAGGGGGAAGAUCCUGAAAGUGGUUCCAGUGCUCUUUGUGUUACAGGAAUGUCUCUACAAUUCAGGACAGAUGAGAACCUGAACACGAUGUCUUUAUCACAGCUGGGUCUGAAAAUAAUUUUAAUGAAAGGAAUAAUUUUUAACGUCCUGAUGACGAUACUCGUGUGGAAAAAAAAGAAUGAAAGUAACUAGAUGGUGCAGUCCUGAAGUAUCAAAAAAGUCUGCUGAGGAACCUUUACCAGAGCACCAUCUGCAAGAGGGCACACAAGCAUUCCUAUUGAAAGAGAUAUCACUUGCUAUCUGUGUAUCAGCCAGUCAUUAUAAUCUAAAUUGCUUUAUUUGCAUUGUUUCAAAGCUACUCAAACCUAAGCUUAAAAUUUCCAGCAUUCUCCUCCCCCAGAUGCCUGAUUCAUUUAGCACGACAAUGCCUCUUUUUGCAUAAAGCACAGUUUGGCAUAACUAUAAAUUACCAAAUAUCACACUUACCUACUGGUGUUAAAAUGACAUCCGAUUUCUGUUGUUUGGAGGUGGUGUUUG